ensembl:lncRNA
CAAAAUAGUUGUUGCUUUAUUUAGAAACAAAGUACAGGGGGAAAAAAAUGUCUCGCUAGUUACAAAGCACAUGGCGAUGUCACUUUCCACAAAGAUUUUGGUGCAAAGAAUAUAACAGUCUGUAUCAGUUAAUUUUUGUAACACUUAACACUAACUGGAGCAGAAGGAAAAUACAGUAUGUUCUGUUACUGCCGUUGUUUAUGGCUAAAUAUAGGAAUCCUAUAGAGCCUGUAGGUAAAUUCUUGUUAUCUAAGGGAUCAUUCUUUACUCAGUCAAGUCUACGCAGGAAGACAAGGCCAUCAUACACUGUUAAGAUGCCUAAUGUUUGCUGAAGAAUGUUUAGAAACAUAUGACCUGAGUUCACUCUUAAAUAAGUUCUCCUCUUCAAUGUGUUCACAGCCAAACCACUGCCUGCAUCUCAGCUGUAUGAAAAAAAGCCUUUAUAUCAGAAUGUUACCUGUAUGCACAUCAUGCCCUCAUACGUCCUCCUUAACUUUAAAGAGAAAUCUGAAUAUUCAGGGAGGAAAGAGUUGCAGUGAAAUCCAGAGUUUUCCACAACCUUGAAAGAGUGGUUAUUGCGGUUGCAGUACUAGUCAACUGCUUUGCCAAAGAAACAGCGAUACAAGGCCCCUGUGCAAUGCAUUGUUGUGCAUAUAAUUGUGUGUAACAUGACAUGAUUUCUUAGGGGAGAUUUUUUAAUUGAUUUUAAAUAUAAGCACUUGCUUACAUACUGUCUCACUCCAAUUUAUAGGAGGGAGAGGAGGUUCUUUGAAAUAUGUAUGCCUGGCGUGAGAUUAAGAAACAACGGUUCAAAUGUUGGUCCGACCAGUUUAUUACAAAUGUUAAUAAGGGAGAUGGGGAAAGGGGAGGACGGACAUCAUUAAGGAUUGGGGUGAUGGGGAAGGGAAGGCGAGCGAUAGAAAAGAUAGAAAGAGGCAAGAAUUGCGUAAAGCGGGGAUAGUAACCACCAGGAUCCGGCAGCAGUCCCGUAGCACGAGGUUCCGACGCCGAAGGGCAGGAGCAGCGAGGCCGGUCUUGGGCAACGAGAGAGUGCAGGUCAGGGAGGAAGCAGCAGGUCUCAGGUAGCAGGCCCAGGGAAGUCCGUCAGCAAACGGUCCGUAGAGAAGGAUCUGAAGGCAGAAAGCUCGUGUCGUGGUGAGAGAUCAGCCUCCACCUAGCCGUGGUUGUUGGACCCUCUUUUAUCCUCCAUUUUCUGCUGCCUACGUGACAUUCCUGGGUGCUUGAGCAAGAGUCCUGUGCAUACCUCCUGAGAUGGCCAUUUUCCUUGAGAUAAGUCCACACAAAAAGACCGUUUCCCGGCCAUUAGCAGCAGCUUAUCUCUCUCUCGAUGCCCCUGGCCUUGUCCAUCUGUGCUCCUUAGAGGAUUUCACAAUCCUUAGCCAGGACCUGUCCAUCAGUGUCCUCAAGACAAAAGAUUUCUCUGCCUUUGCCCAGGACUUGCCUGGACUUGUUCCUCAGCAAACUUUGAGUCAAUGAUAUAAAAGAAUAAUCUCUUACACAUACAUACAAAAUAGUGCAUAUUAAUGUGCAAAUGGGUAAUCAUUUUUGCAGAGCAAAUAUAAUUUUCAAAAGUUUUUUGCUUGCUUGUUUCACCUUUCCAGAUCUAUCCCAGCAUGAUUUUUAACACAAAUUUUGAAACAACUUAAUAGAAGCCCAUAGGAAAAUUACAAUAGCAGCUGCUGAUUCUUGGAUUCUUGGAAUCUGGUUGAAAUAUUGACCUGAAAACAUCAUGUCAACAGUUCACAGAGUGUACAUUUGAGGAUUUAAAAGUCCCAAGUGAAAAUAUUUUACAUUCCUCAGAAGAAUAACAUACAUUAAAAAAUUCCCAUUCCUCGGUGCCAAAGACGACUGAAAUGUCCAGGCUGAAUUUACCCCAGCUGCAUGUGCUCUUUGUGAGUGGUGAUGGGUUCAGCCUGUGAUGUGGAUGCAGGGAGUGCUCACAUUACCCUGCCACAAAUGUGUUGCAUCCUCAUGCCUUGUAAAGGGGAGAAUGUGGUAAUUGAAGCUCCCACAAACUAAAAAGCUGGCUGCAGUGCAAUUCACUAUUUAUGCACUUCAGUUUCAUCUGUUGUGUUGAGAUCCUACUGGCUAUACUGAUUUCUACUACAGGCAUUUUAGAGAUGUUUUUUAUGCUACUGUUUUGGGAAAGGUACUGGGAAAAAAUGAUGUCCCAGUGCCUCCUCGCACUGAAGAGCUAUAUUUGAUCAAUCCUUUCUCUUGUGAGGGAGGCUCAAAUGUGUCUUUAGUGUGUGUUACACAUGUACUAGAAGUGUAUCUGCUUUUGAGAUGAUUAACAUCACUUAAUUUACUGAUUUAGAGAGAGAGAAGAAUGAUAACAUAUUAAAAACCCAGCCAUAGGAGAGAGAAGAUAAAGCCCUGUUUUCAUCUCUUCCUGUUAGCUUAAACUUUUCCAUCUCUACAAUGUAAGCAGUAGUUUAAAUUUAUAAGGGCUAAUAACUUAAAGGUUAAAGCAUUAAUAUUUUAUGAGAGGUGUUUUUUUUUUUUAAUCUUUGUACAGAUAGUGCUAUGAAAAUAGUCUGACAAGUUAGUUUCAUUAUGAAUUAGCUCUUUUCAGCCAAUUUCCUUUUAUUCGUAGAUCUAACAGACUUUUUUUCUCUGCUUUUACAGGGAGUAAUGGAAAACCAUGAAAAUCUUACUUUUGUCCUAACAUUUCCAGAAUUCUGUCUCAUUGAAACAUAGCUCAUACUUUUCUGAAAGCAAGACAACCUUUGUAGACAACAAAACAAGACUUCAGUUAAAAGCAAUUGAGACCUGUAUAUAACCAUGCCUAAGCUGCUGAAGUUUCCGCUGUAUUUUCUGCCAAAGUUCAUCUUCUGCCAUUCAGAGUAAUUCUUAUAGCACCUGCAAAAAAAAAUACUACAAGGACUGUUGCAGUCCCUUUACAGAAGUGAGCAAAACUCCUUUUAAGGACUAUGGGUCUUUUUCUACGUAUCUCUUUAUGUCCUCUUCAUCUACCUUCAUAUCUAUACCAAAUCAUAAGGUGUAUUAAAAAUAUAAUUUGGUAGGAAGUUUUUUUUACAUUGUUGAGAGCUGCAACAAGGUUAACAGGGAUGUUCUCAGGCCUAGGAUGAUCAAACACAAAACACAACUUUAACUAUCAAGAUUGAGCUGUGAAAUUAAUCUAAGUUCACUAUAUCACCAGCAGAUUUACAAACCAAGAAGUUAUAGCUUUCUUUCUUUCUUCCUCCCUCAUCUCCCUUUCAGAAUUACCAGUUAUCUCCAAAGAGAACACAGCUGAAUAAUGUGCUUCAGUUGGCCAACUCUAUUGCUUGCUGUUUAAAGCUCCUCUAGAACACAGAGAAGAGAUUGGCAUUCUACAUCUUGUAUGAGCUUCAAAAUCAUUCGCAGUCUUUCUUUUUCUGGUCUCUGCUUCAAAACUUCUUUUUCCUUCUUCUCACUCUUCCAUCUCUUUUCCAUCUUUGUGGUCAGCUUUAUUCCAAUGCUUUAAGUAGUUAAAGGUUUUUAAAGUGGACUUGGAAACUCCAAAUCUUGGUUACACUUGAAUAAGCAGAACCAGGGUCCAGUGUUUCCUGAUUACCUUAUAUGGCAGCACUGGAAAGCAGUCUCUCAGCUGUGCUGAAAAAAUGUAUCUAAGUUCAUUAUUACUCUAUUUUAAAUGUACAGUUUCUUCUAAUGAGUUGCUGAUAAAAUAGUUGAUGGACAAUUUAAUUGUAUAUAUUUCAGCAAAGCAUAAUACAACAAUCUGCCAUAAGAAAUAAAAUGUAACUUUUCCUCUGUUGGUUGCUUGUAUUUAUCAUACUUAGUAGGUGAAAUGUUCUAAAUCUUCUAAAUUACAAAUUAUCCAUAGUGCCAUCUUGGAUGAAAAAAGGAAAGCAGAGACUUCUUGUUCUAGUAAAUAACCAAAAAAGUAAAAUGUUUAUGACUUCUCCUUAGCAGUCUGGAAAGAGGAAGAAGGAGAGAGAGAAACACUAGUUUGUUUACUCAGGCUGCUAGAUGUCAUGACCCUGCUGUGUGCAGACUGUCCCUUCUUUCAGUUAGAAUGACUGGCAGUUGUGAACACAUGUCAUUCCAUGUCAGAAACCAUACAUGGGCACCCUGGCUAGAACUGCUUGCUGACACACAGAAAUUAUCCAAGGAUACAAUUUUAUUUAUCAUAGUAUGUGUUUCAUGGUAAAAAUGUGAAUAGUCUCCAGCCAAACAGAUGAGUAGCUGUUUUCUGGGAGAAUCAUCAUGCACCUGAGUAUUUUGAGUCUCUAGAUUUUUGCUCUUUAACUGAAAACCAAUCGUCAUAAUUAUUCAAUAUUGUAAAACAUCAAUGAAGUGAGUAGAAAUCAAAAUGCAUUUAGAAAUGAAUAUGUGAUUAUAAACAUAUUGUAUAAGCUUAGCUUCAGAGUGCCUUAGAGUAUGCAAUAGCAUGUAUUCAGAGUAAGCAAGACUGUGGGUGACAGGAUGCAAAAGCACCUGCAGGAUCAAGGUACUUCAGAACUAAAGCUUCCCAGAAGUAGGACUCCCUAAGCUGCAAAUCUCACACUUUGGCAUGGGUUUGGGGCCAGUUUGGCCCAGUUCCAUGACUAGUGCAGUGGAGGGACCCACUGACCCAUGCCCCAGGAUAGGGGGAAGAGAAAAAGGGGAAAAAGGUAGAGAGGAGGGCCUAAAAACAAAACGAAACAGUGGCAACAAGCUAAGGGAGAAAACUAAUUCACUAAAUAUGCCAGUGGAAUGUGAGAUAACACAAUGUAAUCUAAUAUAAUUGGAAUUGAAGCUAAUAAAUCAAAUAAAUGAGAAAGUGUCCAAAACUGAAGACUUUACUCUAGCACUGAAGGUGAGAUGGCUAGGAAGAAUACACUGCAGGGGCAAGCAGUAAAAGAAGGAACCAAUCUCAUGACUAGGGAGUUUUAUCUUUCCCUCUAAAUGGAAAAUGGAAACAGGAAAUGUAACAAUAAAAGUCUGCUGGUUUAUGUAGUUCUUCUCUUGUGAGAACCAGGUACCCAAAAAUACUGACAAUCCAUGCAACUGGAGCAUUAACUCUUUAACACCAAGUGCACUACAUGAUGUUAUGAUGUGGAAUACCAAUAACAGAAAUCAUAAAACCAUGACACAUUUUUAUUAUAUAGUAUGUACCGUAGUAGGGGAAGACGGUAUGAGAUAUUCUUUCUUUCUGCUUCUAUUGUUUUUGCUCCUUGCACUGUUUUAGACUACAUCAUUAAGAAUAUGAACACCUCUGUGUAUUUUGUAGAUGGCUGGUGAAUAACUGCUCACUGACUGGGGACUUGCAGAAAAGCAGGCUACAGGUAGAAAGUUUGCACCUCUUUAGCCAACCACUUUCACUAAUGCUUGGUAUGUUUAAAUCCUUUUACCAUAAGCUUGCUUGAGACAACCUUAAGUCUUCUUACUAAUCCCUCUGACAGAUCUUUUCUUUGACUGUCUAACCAAAGAACUCAAGUGUACUGUGCAAAUUAAAAAAUGAGGCAGGCUGAGGGAAGUAGGCUAGAAAGUCACCAAUGAAACACAGAGCCUCAAGAGACUUCCAUGUGUGAUGUUUCACAGGGGUAAUGGAAAUGGUUGUUUAAAACAUAAAAAUUGAGUUGGGUAAUGCAGCUCCAUGUGUCUUUACUCAAAUGCAGCUAUAGUACCAUUUGCUUACAAUACUCUUUCUGUAUUCUGGAAGAGAACUAAUUGGCUCCCAAUGAACUAAACUAUGUCCUCCUGUUCCAAAGUUAAUUUCCACCUCUCUUUUUAGUUGAACCACACAGAUUUGACCUUUUGAGAAGUUCUCACAUUCAGAGAGCUGAGAACCAUAUUAUUUUUAACAUACAAAAUUAGUGCCAUUAACAAAUAAAUUCCAGCACCUAUUCUGGCACCAUCAGAACAUUAAUUGCCUGUACCAAAAAUAUUUUUCAUUUGUAGCAACUAAGAAAAAUUCAUGCUAUAAGAAGUAAAUUAUUUAUGAUUUAUAAAGGGUGUGGUUUUGUCAUACCUGCUAGAAAGGUAAAGAAGAUAACUAAAGAAAGAAAGGCAUUAUUUAGAGUUACACAUUGUGAUCCAAGUGACAGAAAUAAUUGAACAUGGGCAGUAAAACUCUACAACUCCAAGAUGUCAAUUUCUCUCUUAUAGAACUGAAGGUGGACAAGGCUGAGCCACAAUUAGAUGAUACACAAUCUUAUAAAAUUGUCAAGACAAAUUCAGAAAAACUUGUUUUUAUAACUGAAAAAAAAUGUAUGGAAAAUCUUCAAACAAAAGACAGUCUAGAAUGUUAUUUCAAUAUUUAUGAACUCAUCUUUAAAGAAUCCAGCAAAAUACAAUGGGUUUCUGCAUUCUACCUUCUCAAAUGGUAAAAAUGAAAAUCUUAUCUAAAUGUAGACAAUAAAAUUAAAGUGAGAAAUGAAUUUGCUGAUAGCAUUAAAAACUGCCAAGAAUAUGAUAAUUUAGAACAAUAAAAAACAGUAACUCCAGCAGUGAGUGACCUUUGGAAGAUGGGUAUUAUUAGCCCUGCUCUAGAACUUAAGGAGUCAUCUGUAUUUUAUUUUAUCUUCUCAGAUACACCUGUUACACCAUUCUUGAUUUCUCUCAGACUUCUCACAGGUGCUUCAGUUUUUGUGUGUAAGACUUAGACCCUUUAACACUUGUGACUUGGCUUUCUCUCAAGACUGUAUCAAUAGCGAGUACAUUCAAUGAAUUUCACGAGGUUUUUUGGAUAUUUAAAUAUAUAUACAUAUAUAUUUUUUAUAUAAAUAUAUAUACAUAUAUCUUUACAUUCCAUCUUUUCUCCAAUUCUACUGACGUUUUCUAAGGACCAGGAAGAACACAGAGUUCUCUGAACACAGUACUUGAAGAAAGCUGUGAUAUUGUUCAAGUACCAUUUUAAAAGGUGGGUUUUUAAAAUUAAAAAUGGAAAAUGCUUCAGAAAUUUUCUGGAGAGACUGUAAUUGACAUGCUGGUUAAAUCUAAAUGUAGAAAAGGGCAACAGUGGGCAAUGAGGUUAAGUAGAGAUCUAAAGAUUAGUGGAAGCAAUAAACAGAAGGCUUUUAAAAAUGAAAAAAAAUACAGAGAGUCCGGGAAGGAGAAAGAUUUAAGUGCUGUAAAGUACACAGAACAAAAAGCUGUAUUCCAACUUGAGCUACAGAUAGUGUUUCAGCACAUGCUCAUAAUUCAUCAGAAUACCCAUUUUAAAAUAAAUAACAAUAAAAGGCUUAAAGACUAUCGGCCUACUAGAAGAAAUAAAUACAGUCAUAUUCAUAAAAUGGUGUACUAUGUAAAGUCAUUUUCAUAUGUAAAAGAAUAAAUAUAGUCAGCAGUAGAAAGUUCAAAAUCAUCUAGAUCAGUUAAAGAUCUACAGGUAAAUAUAACACAUAAUAAUAAUACAGAAAUCACAGUAGAAAAUACUAUUUUAAAAGGGUUUAAAUUAGGUUUAUGUUUAGAUACUUGAUAUUAAACAGAAGAUUUAUGUGGAGGAGAAUGGGGACAUUGAAGAGGUUUAGUUUUUUGGGUUUUUUUUCAAGUUUUUUCUCUUUUAUCACAAUUUUGAGAAAUUUUUGAUUUAACAAAUUCAUCUUUACAGAAGUAUAGUUUAUUCAAAAUGAAAAACAUUUAAAAUAUACUUUUGUUUCAGAGUGAAUUUCUUUACAGAAUUCAGUUUCAUGAAUUGAUAGUCUUCUCUAUGGCUUCUAAAUAUUGUCUCUUUCAUAGCAGUGUACGAAGUGGUUUUAUUCAUACAGUGAAAUAUAAGAAAAUGAGAACAGAGAAGAAUGGGAUUAUUUAUCUGCUCUCAGACUGUGCUAAAUGACAUUCAUGCUGAAUAUCUAGAAGGGAUUAGUGGGUUCAUUUUUAAGAAAGCAAGGCAAACUUUCCUUAGUAGAAAAAAAUAUUUCAUGCUGUUUUUUACACGUGUUCCAUUUUGAAAAUAAGACAAGUUAUUUUUACUAGUACGAGCAGGAAGCACAUUUCUGAAUUUCACAAACAAUAAAGGUUAAGAAAAGCAGUCUUGCUGAGCAUCACACACCACUUCCAAGGCAGUUCCAAAUCUAUGACCUUAGAUUAUAAGCUUAUGCCCUACUUCACAACGUAUCCCUUCCUAAUACAUAGAAGAGUGUCUAGAUGGUAAGAGCUUGACGAUCUAUCUUUAUCUGCACACACAGACACACACACACACAGACAAGUGGAGGAAAUUUUACUGGUAUUUGGAGAUGUAUAUGUAACUGACUGUAACUAAGUGUUUUUCGAACAUAUAACUGAACAUGGACACAAUUUUUUCUUCUAAAACCGAAGUCACUAAGAGAAGUAAACCGAGCUCUUCAUUUUAGAGAUAAAAGCUAAUGCUUAAUUUAAAUCAUAGUAGAUACAUUUAAGAGUAUCUUUAAAAGAAUCUUUUUUUUUUUUUUUUACCUAUUUUUAUUUAAUAAAUCAAGGAAGAAAAGACAUCUUUCUAGCAUGAAAAUUAACAUUCAGCUUGAUAGACUAAAAUAAAUCAAAACCAUUCACAGCAGUACUUUCUGAUACUGAUGACCGACAUGAAAUUUCUUACCCUUUAACUAUUUCUGCAGCUUGUGAAGAGAAGUCUUUUUGUUUGGCUUAAGCUAGGGACCAAAUUCAAGUGAAAGUCCUCUGUAGUUCUACAGUUGCUUCAUGCAGGUACAAGAGCAUGUACUGAAAAUGAAUCAGGUUGUCAAUGCCCCUAUCUGAGGAGAGACACAAAAGACCCUCUCCUCUUUGCCAUUUUACAUUCAGUGGAGCUCUGCUCAGAAGGGCUGAAAACUUACAAUGCCGACAUGUCAGCUACAGACUCCUUUCUUUUAGCCACUUGCCCUACUUCCUUUACUUUAAUAUAUUUUCACACUAACUCUCAGAGGUCCAUGCAAAAUUUGUGAAAUUGCCUAGUUUUGUGCUGGCCCUGAGAGCAUAAUAUCAAUAUUUAAUUUCCCCAAAUCAAUUCAUUUCUCUAUGUUAGGCAGCACAGUGUUUGAUAUCGCUUCAUUCAAGUUUAAAAGACAAUUCUUGUAUCAUUUUUUUCAGUUCAGUGAAGGUUAUAUAAGAGGGUAAAAAAUGAGCCAAAGAACACAGCUUUGGUCAAAAGUAAAAACUUGAAAAACAUAGGUUCCUAUGUAGCAGGAAAGAAUCUUGCAGUAGUCAAGAAUAGGAAUCUAAAUGACAGAGAGAAAAGGAUCAUAUUCCAAAGGGAUAAAGAGACAUAGGAAGAAGGGAAAACAGUAAGUGUAAAGAAUUCAGAGGCAUUAGCAAAAAGCAUUUUACAGUUUAGGCAAAUACAUUUGUCCUUCUUUCAAAGGCAGAAUAUGAGAGUGAAUAAACAUAACUGUGUAAACACAUUUCUCUAUGUUACUGCAAAGAUUCCAUCUACAUUAAAGCAAUGGGACCACCUCACAAAUGUGUAAUAGACAUACCUAAACAAAGUAUACAUUCUUUAUUAUUUUCCCGUACAAUGAUACAAGAAAAAAAAAAAAAAGACUGAUUUUGAGUUGGAAAUGGAAAGAAUCCUGACCCUGCAACUGAUGGAGACUUUGACCUAAUCUCCUCUGAAAAGUCAAACGUAGCCUGUCCAAUAAGGAAGGGCCUAAGACAGAACUAUAAGGAAAACUGAAUGUCUGAAUAAAUUAUUUUAUUAUGCCAACUUCAAUAGGUCUUCUCAAAAAAAGUGGAGAACAUACAUAGGUCACUCUGAAAGUAAUGCCUCCUAUUUAUUUCCAUGAAAAAUUCACCACCUGCAAACAGCACAAUAGCACUAUUUGAUAGAGAAUAUUCUCAGCCACAAAACAUUUAUUUUCAGUGUAGUAGCAACCAUUAAUUGCACAUUUUUGACACUGAUGAACAAGUGCCUGCAUGCCUUUCUCAUAAGACGUGGUUUAUCUUUCACGUCACUGUUGCCACUGCUGUAACACACCAUCCUCCACCUUAGUGUGCUCACACCCACUGUAUGGUCUCUACGAACUUGCAGCAAGUGUCAAUGAAUGUCAAUGGGUACAAUUUUUCUAUGCAUGGAGGAAUUCAAUUGCACAUAUUUACUUCUAUGUCAAAUGCCAUUUUCUCAGACUGUCCCUCUUCUUUCAUCUGUCACAGAGCAACAAAAUAUAAUGAAAUUUUGGUGGGAAUGUCCAGCUCCUGCUGCCGUGCCACGAACACCUGCUUCUGACAUUGUAGGCCAACAUAAUAAAACAGGAGGCAUUACUUCUGGAGCAGCCCUUGUUCUAUAGAAAAAGUGAAUUUGAAACAGCUUUCCAGCUCCAGAUAGAUGUGCCUACUGGAAACAAUUAUCAGUUUCAUGUGUCCAUUAUAAAACUCAAAAUCUUAAGCUGAUUAUACUAGAUGUUAUUAAGACUUCUAGUCUUUUAUUAUCUGUAAAUACAGAAAGACUUCAGCACAGAAAAAGAGCUGCUAGGUUGAUUUAGUCAUCUGUCUGUGAUCAUUAGUUCUGAAAUUAUUAGAAUGAGUACAUUCUGGCAUUACUUUGAGAUAACAUAAAUCUUUCCAUCUCAGGUAAACUGUGAGGAUCUGAGGAUCUUCCAAAGUGCAGAAGGAAAAAAAUCCUGUGAGUAAAGUAUUUUUUCCAAAGUGUUAUUCGAGAAAUUAAGACGCUAAUAAAGAAGACUUCUUAAUAUAUCAACGUUAAUAUGAUGUGUGUAGGUAGAUUCUGAUGAGCAUGUGACACAUAAAUGCACAUCUAUGCAUGCAAGAAGUCUUACAGUAGUUAAAUAUGUCCUCACAUAUCCUUCUUCAAACUUUACUCUCUUUUUUUCCAGAUUAAGCUUUUCAAACAAUGUGUGUCUGUCUUUGACACUCUGAGUUCACCAACAUAACAAAGCUUUGAAUAUUUCAUAACUGAAAACAAAUGACAUGUUGUUAGCUUGAAUAUAAUCAUUAAUUUAUGUGUAUAUUUAACCUUAAGUUUACUGAGAAAGGGUGGAUUUCUAUAUUUAUGUUGUACUGUAAAACCUUUUCAAAAGCUUUUCGAGAUCAUACAUUACAGCUAAAAGUGGCCAUGGGCCUGUCAUGGGCCUUACUUAGAACAACAGUUUGAAAACAAUAGCUAAGAAAGAGCAAUUUAGAUUUUUGUAGGUUUUGAUUUUAAUGUGUAAUUUCUAAUAUAUUUGAAUCUUUUUAUUUUUGCAAUUAUAUUGAAAGAUAUCAAAUAAUAUUAUUCGUCAGUGGAUUUUACUUUUAUUAUAAAACAUUUUAAACAUACUUUUAACAAAUAAAUCCACACAGGAAUACAUGUAUCAUCUCUGCUAUGGGCCUUCCAUCUAACCUUAGAGGUAAAAUCCAACUGCGAACAGGAAGAUUUCAUUAUCGUUAUAUACGUUUAAUACAUUGUAUACAUUAAAGAGCCGUAACUGAUAGAGUCCUUCCAUGCUACUUACUGCAUUUCAGCUCUUCUCUGGGAAAACAGCAAUCAUACAGAUGUGUUUCAUUUGUACUUCUUGAUUUCUGGAAUAAUUAAAAACACGUCAAGUAAUAUCAGUAAAAUACCCUUUUAAAAAAAGACAUUGUUUGCUGUUGAUACAACAAAUUCCAUAUGCAUUCCACACAAACAAAUUC